rnacentral:tRNA from 1 species
GCCUUAGUAGCUCAAUAUUUUAGAGCACCGGCCUUGUAAGUCGAAGGUUGAAGGAGAAACUCCUUCCUAAGGCA